GGCCAGCGCUCCCCACCUCCCAAGUCCCGGCGCGGCUGGGAGACCAUGUCGCAAGGGACGCGACGGGAGGGACCUUCACCCUCCGCCCUCCGCCCACCGGCCUCCGGCCUCUGGCGCCAGGACCUGCAGCCCCUCCUCCUCUGCAUCCGGGAGCCGACACCUAUGUCCCUUCCUCCCCGUCGGUCACUCCACCUCCGCCGCCCCUUUGCCGCUCGACCUCCCCGCUGCUGCAACCGCUCGGCCUCUCCGUAGAUCUGCAGCCGCGCCUCCAGCUUGGCACAUCUCUUGCAGAUCUCGGCCAUUACUCUUCUCCAAGAACCACUCCUUGUUCAUCUUUUUGCUGGUUACUCUUGGACUAGAACUGCAUUGGUGCUAUAGAUGGUACUCAUGUCUCAAUUACCAUUUCAGAAGAAAGAGCUCCUCCUUACAGAAACAGGAAGGGAACAUUGUCACAGAAUGUGAUGUGCGCUUGUGAUCUUGAUCUGAAAUUUACUUUCAUCUCAUGUGGGUGGGAGGGAUCAGCAUCUGAUGCGGGAGUCCUUCGAUCUGCUCAUAGUAAGGGCUUUGACGUGCCAGUAGUGAAGUUUUACCUUGUAGAUGGUGGAUACGCAAACACACCCUCAUUCAUUCAUCCGUACCGAGGUGUUAGAUACCAUUUUUAGCGAGUUUAGGAGGCAUAGAUCAUAUGCAAACUAUAAAGAACUGUUCAACCACCGGCAUGCUCAACUCCGUAAUCAUAUUGAAAGAACUUUUGGUGUGCUGAAAAAACAGUUUCAAAUUCUUAGUGUGGGGACCUUCCAUCCUCAGGUUGCAGGCGGGGCGGGCUCUUAUACCAACCCGCGAACCCGCCCCGCAAAAUUGUUGAUCGCGACGUAAGCGGCCCAGCUGCAGAUUGUUUGCAGCCCACUAUUGCCCACGUCACCGAGCCCGCUGGACAAAGGGAAAAACCUGCAGGAACCCGCAAAGACUCGCAAACGCUGUCGCCAGCGCUGCGCCGCCGUCGUAAGUCGUACUCUUCCACAGUUCCUUCUAUCUUCCCGGAGGGGCGGCCGGGCGGGAGCGCACGCAUGAACUCCCGCUGCUCAGCUCUAGCUCCAGCCGGCACCCACAGCAUUAGCCGCGCCGUGUAGGAUGUCUCUGCCCCUACUCGUCGGCACUUGAAGCCUCCAAUCCAGCGCAUCCUCCCUCUUCCCCAAGGUGGGUGCUGGGUCUGCUCAUCUAGAUCCCUGCGGAUAGGAUUGGCCCAUGGAGCAGCCGCUGGGAUUUCCAAUUUCCAAAUCCGUGGUGAGCUUUGCCUGCCAAGUGCGCUCGGCUUCUGCCUGCUCGUCGGCACCUAGCUGACUGUUUGGGUGCAGCCUGUGGUGGCUGCCUGCUUGCUUGCCGUGAGAUUGUAGACUAGUAAUGACAAUGACAUGAACUUUGCGGGUCAUGCGGGUUCUAUCUCUCUACAGCGAAGCCCACAUGAUACCAGCUAGCUGCACAGCAGAAUUAGUGAACAACCACCAACCCGCGUGAUUACUUUGCGGCAAGCGUUGUGGUCUCGCGGCCGUCCACAAUCCGCCCCACCUGCAAACUGAUUCCAUCCAAUUGAUAACCAAAUUAAACUUCCAGCAGUAGCGGUAGUCUUUCACAAUAGAGCGCAUCAUGGCGAUGAAGGGUAGUUAGAUCACCAACCAAAUAAUAUAAACCCAGAGGACUAUGUUGAUUUAGUCUCUCUCUGGCUGAGUUCUGAUAAUUAUCCUUUAUCAGUUCUGAUAAUGAUUAGUCAUCCCUUGUUGAGCAAUUAUCCUAUAUCCCUUGAUCAUAUUUAUGGACCAUGUAAUAAAAUAUUUUGGUGCCAUGUUUCAUAUGUCCAUUCAUCAUCAUCGGAUCUGUCUUUUUACUGCAAUGGGAAAUAGAUAAGCUCAACUUCUAGAUCACUUGAUGCUUGCUUAUUUAUAAUCAUACCUAGCUAGCAGUAUUUUGAAGUAUCUGCACUUCUUUUUUUCCCCUAAAUUCUGAAUAUCUGCACAUGCUCCAUGAUGUCUUGUAAAAUCUAAUACUUGUUGUUCUCUUCGUCCAACUUUGUUGGCCCUAGUAAGCUUCAUUAAGAAACCAUCAUUCAACCUGAAAUGCUAUUUUUUCCAAAGAAGAAAUUUAGUUGAGGAUCUCAUCUGAAACAUUCAUUUUUUGCUGUAUUAAUUGCAACCAUGGCUUUGUCAUUUGCGGUUAUGUUUGAUGAUGUAUUAAUUGCAACCAUGGUUUCUGUAUUAAUCCAAUAGUUAUUUAUUUUGAAAUUUGUAGUUGAUCUAGUCUAUGGUAAAAUGUUGCUAUAUCUGAUGCAGCUUCAUGAUCUUCAGUUCAUCGUAUGUUAUGUGUGCUGCGUGAAUAGUUAAAUUUUAAUUCAUGCUGAUCAUAUUCUUACUCCUGCUGAUAAAGUCUAGUGUUGUUUCUUUCAUCCUUUGGUAGCCUUUUCACUUGCUGCUUCUGCUGCUACGGGGCCUGCAAGUGCAGCCUCGGCCCUCUAGUUCCUCUGCUAACUGCUAAUUGAAGCUAUUUGCUCCCCAGUCAUGAAGAAGACAUCAUCCGUAGAAUUUUUCAUGAAUUUCUCAAACAUUUUGUCUUGCUGUGUGAUGGAUGGAUGGGACAUGUUGGGAUUUGUUUGAUGGAAAACUCUUGCUUGCAAUGCAAUCUGUUGAGAAUGAA